UCUGUGUGUAUAUCUGUGUGUGCAUAUAUAUGUGUGCAACACGUGUAUACAUGUGUGUGGAGUCCUACAGUUGACGUCAGUUAUCUUCCUUUAACAUGCUCUACCUUAUUUUAUUUUUCUUUUGAGACUGUAUUUCUUACUGAACCUGGAAUUCACCAAAUGGCUGGACUGACUAGCCUGUACAGUUUGGCAUUCUCCUGCUUCCAUCUCACCAGCUCUGGGGUUAGAAGCACACUCUACACCUGGCUUUUUGCAUGGGUGUUGGGGAUCCGAAGUCAGGCCUUCAUGAUUGUGAGUCUCUUGUGACCGAGUGAAGACUGGGGCUCAGAGCUCUCUUGGAUUUGACACAGCUCCUUGUUCCUUCCUGCUUCCGAGGAGGAUUCACAUGAGUGGAAGCAGCUCCUGGUAGAAAUGGUCCCUCAUCACGCCAUCUGCAAUUCCGUGAAGGAAACGUCUGCUCUGCUGAGCUGCCAUUCCGGGACGACGUUGGAGGAGGUCAACGAGGCCCCAGCUGCGGGGACUCUGCUCAAAUGGAAACUCCAUUCUCUGCUCUCUGACUCAGAUCCCUCCUGGGUCUCUGGUUUACUCCAUUUCCCCCCACUUCCCUCCUCUGGUCUCAUUUUAAAUAGAAUCCACCAGCAAUCAGAGCGUGAGGCCAGCAGCCCAAGUUGGAAACGAACCCCAGCUCUAGGGAAGGGGGGCAGGUAGAGGCACGGCUGAAGGACGUCUCCUGCUGGAGACAACAGCCGCCCAGUUCUUCCAAAUGGCUCUACUUUCCCGGCUCUGGCUCUUUCCUUAAUGGCCAUGCCUUCCCUGGAGCCUGGAAACUGGGACAAGGCAGCGUUGUGCAGCAGGAGACGGGCUGCCUAGGCUCCCGGGGACCAGUACGUCCCCUGCAUCUUGGGCAGUUUCUAUCUGAGGAACCAGGACUGAAGGCAUUGAGAACUUAGAGGGGAGGCUUCAUCUCCCUUGCAGACAAUAAGGGUGUUGGAAUGUUCAAGCAGAAGAUGGACGCACCUUUCUGUGUGGCCAUGAGGCAGGCUGAGCAGGAGGCCAUGGCUCAGGGGAGGGUGCUGGUUCUGAUUGGGCGGUGGGUUUGGCGCACCAGGCUGAGAACUGUGACCCAAUAGGUCUUCACUGAUGGAUGGAUCUCAGAGAGCUGACCUAUUCAGAUCUCCCAGGUGACACAGCAGUCUCAUAGUAGGGGCUUUGUAUGGACCAGAUGUUCUGACUGUUCCAACUGUCCUCUAAAAGGCCGGCGUCGAUUUAAAGCCUCAGGUGAGUACAGACAGGGAAACUUGCAGCCAGUGGGUGGGUGGGCAGAGCCAGAACUCAGCCAAGUCAAUUGACCCCAAAUCCCACAUUGGGUAUUCUGAUCCCCAAACCUGUUUUCAGACUCAAGGUCUACUCAAGGGAGCAACCCUAUCCCUCCAUUCACAGCUAAGUGCUUCUAGGAUUGGGGACUGUGUAGCCACAAUUCCACCCUGUCCUGGGGCAGAUUUAAUCUCCAGAGACUCCUCAAAUGAUUCUCUCAUCUUUGAGACCUUUAAGUGUUGGGUGGUUUGGAGAGCCUUAGGUCGGUAUCUUUGCUUCCACUGUGAAGCUCCUGCAGCAGCAGGGGUGGAAACUUGUGUGCACAGACUGGGAUGUCACAGAACAGGUCAGAGAGACGCCAGUCUGUCAUUUGAAGUAUGAGUCUAAGGGCAGCUCCUUCACACUCUCUAGAGUUCACCAAGCUUCCUUGGAAGUGGGGACAUGAAAAUGUACAAAUGGCACCCGGGUGGCCUCUUCCUCUUGCAGUUUAGUGAGACUUUAGAUAGUUUUGUUGUCAGAGAGCAGGUUCAGUUCCUUUGUAGCUCAGGAUAGCCUUGAACUUGUGACCAUUCUCUUGCUUCAGCAUCCCAAGCGCUGGGAUUAUAGGAGCACAGCACUACAUUAAGCAGUGGAGAGCGAAGGACUUUCACUCCUCAUACCUCCCUGGGUACAGAAAAGGCAGUGUUGGCAGGGUAUGGGGUUCCUGCUGCCAAGUCCCCGACUUGACCCUGCCUCGCCUGGCUUAGGACAAAGCUGGCACUGCUUGUGGUGUAGACAGAGUUGGGAGGAUCAGUCACAGGGUUGAUUCGCAGUGUGAGCUGCUUCCCCGUGACUGUCAUUGUUCACAAAAAACCACACACGACUGAGCUCUUGCAUUGGUGUAUGACGUGGGCACAGUGGAGGUGAUCAAUGAGUGACCAUCAGUGGACCAUCUGCAAAAGGUAGCUGAAUGCCAUUCCUGGGGGCAUCUGGGGGCAUUUCAAGAGGACACCAUCUUGGAGCUGGCACUGGACAGUGGCUAGCCUUCAGGGAUGGAACAUCUGUCAUGACUUCCUAACUCUGCGCCCAGCAGUAGCUCUCUCAGCGGCCAUCUGGGGACAUCAGAACAAGCACACAUAGGACAGGGCUGGAAGCCAAGCCUGUCUGGAGCAGAAGCCACAGAUAAAUCUACCCUAACAGGAUGGGACAAAUGACCAUGGCUUUCAGUGGAGACUGACCCUCGUACCUCACACAUCCUCAGCACAUGCUUUCCCACUGACUAACAUCCCAGCCCUACGAGUGUCCUCAAACCCAACAGCAUCAUAGAACAUCUCAACAGAGCUGGGUUCCGUGUGGAAGCCGAGAAAACUUACUUCAGUUAUAGAAGCUCAAAAAGGAGAAAACUCACUUCAGAUCCGGAAGCUUAAAAAUUGAAAGUUUUUCUUUGUGAGAGCUCAGGGAGUGCUCAGCGUAGAUGAACACCGGGCCACUACCCACUUCAUCUCUGAUGGACACUGAAGCCUGUUUAGUUGGUGGACAUAUUGUACAAGUGACAUUCAGGGUCACUUGUCAUAUCCUGGAACACAAAUACAGGUCCUCACUUCUUUCCUACAGUCUCGAUUGGAGUGAAGAGAAAGGGAAACUUCUGAGACGGUCAGAUGUCCUUCCAAAAAGCCGCGACCCUCUGGCAUCCUCCCUGAAGGACAGGACCCUGGCCCACACGCCUCUGAAAGACACCAUCGUUUUCUCGCUCCAGAUGUCUCUCACACACACUUAGUCCAUAUCUUAAUUUUAUCUGCUGAUCCCCAGUGGUGUUCCUUGCUUGUCUGAGGUUGUAUUACACUCCCUCCCCACUCCCCCCCCCCCAGUCCCCAAGGCUUCCUGCCUGUGAUUGUGUCUUACCCCAUGAUCUUCCCCUUGUCUUUAUUGUCACAUGUCAGCUUCAUCGUUUCCAUAUAUUGCUGUCCUUUCUCAGCUACAUCUGUUUGCAUGACUUCCAAUGACAUUUUUAUCAGAUAUGUCAUUUUUUUCCCCUCCAGUACCUGGAUUAGAGCUGUUGCUUGGAGCAGGAAUUCUUGUUUUUAACUUUUCUGCUCGUGGUUGCUUUCUGGCUUCACUUACAUCAGACCACAGUCACCUCAGAAUGGUUUAUUAAAUCUGUCAAUUCAAGGGCAUUUGAGAAAGCUGACCUUUAUCUUGUGUCAAAUAUCACAUGUUCUUGGGGCCCGGUCUGGAUUUUAUUCUUUUGCUGUGUCGGCUUCUCCUGUAUGGCAACCCUUUCUUUUGAGACUAGUUCCUAAGCUUUGCCUGCUAACCCAGGGGCAGCCGGUAGGUUGUUCCUUAUGCCUUAGUGGGUAGGCUCGUUUCUUCCUUAUCUCAAAUAGGCUGAAGUUGGUAAGUUGAGCUCUUGGUUGAAAUUGCAUGGCUCCUACCAAAUUAUUUGGGAAGAAUGUGCAUGCUUACAUGACAUGAUGUUUAACUGCAGUCAAGUUGACCUCAGUAGGGAUCAACGGGAGAACUGGACAUUCAUUGUUUCUGGGCACUGUGUCUGUGAGGGCAUUUCUACUUGUAAGUAAAAUGCAUAUUGCAGUACCUGUGGUGGCCAGGAGAGGGUGUCAGCUUCUCUGGAGCUGGAGUGAUAGGUGAUUUUGAAGCUCCGGAUAGUGCAGAAAAUAGUUCUUAGGUCCUCCGCAAGAAAAUCAAGUGCUUCUCACCCCUGAGCCACCUCUCCAGCCCCAGGAAGAUGGUGUUAGCUGUGGCUAUGUGUGGUGCAGUGGAUCACUGACAUUUGUUCCUUGCCCAAGGCUCUGCCCUUGUGGUCGGCACCCAUGUUCCCUCUGGUUAUGAGUUUACACCAUGAAACCUCUUUUGUCUAGCACCGGUGAUGUUGCUCUAGUAUCCCUCCGUCACAGGACAGUGACCGCUCAUGGAUCACAGGGACAGCUCUUGCUCACUUCCAUCUUAUACUGAUCUCCUCUCUGGGUCUCAAGGUGCUAUGUGGACCACUCUCCUGGAGAUUUGACCUUGUGGAUGACAGACAGUAGACAAGCAUGUAGAUUGUGUAGCAAUACUAAAGAGAGUAGCAGCACACGGAGAGGGUGGGAACCUUCUGUGCUGGGCAAUAAAAUAUGGCUCAUACUGAAUAUCAAGUAGGACAUUAGGUCCGUCUGCGGUAGGGUCAUGGAACCACAUGAAAAGAGUCUCGAUGUUAUUAACUCGCUAAAACUUUAGAGUUGAAGUGCAUUUAGCCCAAGGAAUGCCUUUUGUCUAUUGGCAUGCUAACAGGCUUAUUUUCUCCAUGAUCAGUUAAGGCGGGUGAAUAGAUUUCCCAACACUGAGACACCGUUGUGUUUCUGAGAUAAAGCCUGUGGCUGGUGAUGUAUUGGUUUUUUAAGUACCUUGUCGAAAGAGUUUCCAUCUUUUGUGGAGGUUCUAAAAGCUUUUAGACUUGGAAGUAAGAGGUUCCGGCGAGUGCCCUGCACACCUGCCACCUGCUGUCGCAGAGAGCUCAGCCUGCCUUAUUUUUUCCCCUUCAGGCAAUCCCUGGUUAUGUUUUUUUAAAAACAAGCCUUUCUUUGCCACUUAUGCUUCAUCGUGACGUAUUCCAUAUUGUUUUCUUACGAUUAUUGUUCCUUCCCUUUUAUAUUUAGCAGGUUUGUUGCAUUCUUAAAAGAAACAUUUGUCUUCUUUAUCUCCCUCCUUUUUGUUUUUACAGCUUCUUUGAGAUAAGACUGAUGUGUCUGCUUAAUGAAUACCAUAUUUAAUUUUGAAGCAUUUUGACACAUGCAAUGAUGCCUUCGUCACACAGAAACCUUCCACCACCGUUGUCUCCCUAGACUCCCGUAUCUCCUGCUCCCUGCCCAGCUUCCCCACAAGAGGCUACCUGCAACCAGAUCUCUGUCACUGUGCCUGUGUCGGAAGUUUCCCAUAAGUGGGAUCAGACUGUCCUUUUCAUCAUCAGUGAGUGUGACAUUUUCAAUGCAUCUGAGUGUGACAACUUCAAUGCAUCUGUCCUGCAGACUGCACAGAGCUGACUCUUUUCUUUGCUGACUAAUACUCUAUCCAGUUGUCGGCUUGUUUAAAGACACGCAUGCAGUCCAGUGUUGUCUUCUGUAAAGGUGCUAUGAACUUUGCCCCACACAAGUCUUUCUGGAAGUUAACUGUUCCCCUGUGAAUAUCUGCGAGUCAGUGGGUUACACUACACAGUAGGCACCAUGUGUAACUUCCCAGCACACACACACACACACACACACACACACACACACACGCAUCUACAUACAGACCUAUUCACACACAGGUAUAUAAACAGUAUUGACUUCCAAAGAAUAUAUACAGAAGAAUAUCAUUAUCAGCCACUCACUACAGGGCCUGUUUGUGUUCUUUUAAUGCUUGAAGAUGCAGAGAAACUUUUCAGAGCUCAGUCCCCAACCUAAUGAUUUUGGUAAGUGUCUUUAAUGCUUUCUCUUGUUUAUUUAGUAGGAGGCCACACCCCCUAAUCAUGCCACGCCCCAUGGGCCAAGCAUUCAAACACACGAGUGUUAGGUGUCUUCCUCUUUCUAUUCUCCAAACUGCUUUUUGAAAUAAGGAUUUCUUACUAAAUCUAGUUCUUAGAGAUUCAGCUAGACUGCCUCACCAGGGAUCCCCCUUUCCCUGCCUCCCAAGUGCUGGACUUACAGUUGUGCAUGGCCAUGCCAGCCUUGGGAGCUAGGGAUCCAAGCUCAGAGCCUCAUGUUUGUGUGGUAAGCACUUUACUCCCCCCCCCCCACCCACAGUUUCUAAUGUCUUUAAGCCGACUUCAAUUAUGGGGACACAAAUCACACUCAUUUCAUGAUAUUGGUAGCUCCUGUGCCAGGCACUAACAACAUUUUAAAAGAUUUAUUUAUUUUUAUCGUCUAUGUAUGAGUGUUUUGCCUGAAUGUGUAUCUGUGUACCUUGGGUAUGCCCGGUGCCUGCCGCCAUCACUAAGGGACAUCAGAUGCCUUAGAACUGGAGGCAGGAAUGGUUCUGAGCUGCCACAUGCGAGCUGGGAAUCAAAUCCAGCAGCAAAUGCUCUUAACCACUGAGCCACCUUUCCAGCAUCCCAAAACACUCUUCUUCCCGACAAGCCCCUGGCCACAUAGGUCUGAAUGUCGGACCCCAGGCCUGUCUGUCACUGGAUCUUGAAGACAUUGAACUUUUAUGGCUAGUUAAUCAGCGAGCAUCUCCAAUUUUGUUCUUUUUCAAAAUUGCUUUAACUAUCUCCUUUCAUUUCUACGUACACUUGUAGAAUCAAGGGAGCAAUCUCUUUAAAUAAAUGGGGAAAAAACAAAUAUAUAUUAAUAUGUGCAGCAACAUUUUCCAAGACCACAGUGGCUGAGUAGAUGAGUUUAGCAGAUUUUUAUCUCAGCAGUAGGCUCUCUCCAAGCCACGAGCAAGUACAUCUUCCAUCUAUGUGCGACUUAAGGCAAUUCUAGCAGUAGCUUGCCAUAGCAUCUUGCCCAUCUUUUAUCAAAAUUAUCUUUAGCCUCAUGCUAUUUAAGUAUUGCUGUUUUUCCAUUGCAAGCUCCGGGGACACAUCAUUACUUUGUGGAAAUAAAGCUGGUUCUUAUAUAUUGGCAUGUGGCAGGGAGUCACAUAUCAAUUCCAAUGAUGGCUCUGUGGGUUACUCGAGGUUUGCUAGACAGAAUACUAUGUACUCCGAUGACAACCUCGCUCAUUCUCUCCCAAUCCAUAUGCCUUUAUUUUCUGUGCCAAGCUAAACUGGCUCAAAAUUCAAGUUCAACACAGACAUGAGUGGUGAGACAGAUGUUUUUGCAUGCUUCCAGUCUCAGGGGAUACGCAUCUCUACCCCAGUGAUGUCAGACAGUUGGCCUCGCUUCCACCUUUAUGAAUCUGGGGUAGCGCCAUUCUAUUUCCAGAUUCAUUUAGUCUUCUGGUGAAUGGAUGCUGGAUUCCUUCAAGGACAUUUGCUACAUUUUCUAAACUGAUAUUCUCUUGUGUUUCUCAGCCAGCAAAUAUGAUGGAUUGUGGUUGAAUGCUUUACAAAGGUUAGCCAAGUCUAGUAGUCUUGAGGAAAACUCACUGGAGUCUUCUCCUAGACUGGUGUGUGUGUGUGUGUGUGUGUGUGUGUGUGUGUGUGUGUGUGUAGAUGUGCAUGUGGUUUCUCUCUUUCCACUUCUAAAAUAUAACAAGUAGAGACAUCUUCCCCCUGAUGUUGGUGUUGAAUCCCAUGCCUGUUCAAUCAGUCUGGCUCAUGGCUCUCAAAUUUCACUGCUGUCUCCUCACAGCUAGUGUACGAUAUGAUUCAGAGACUCCACACCUACGUACUUACCAAAAGCAAAGCACAUUCCACCAGAAACCGUAGCGCUGUCCCACCCCAGCCAGUGUGCUGAAUACACAGCUGAGAGCUGCCCCAUCUCCUCAGGGGGUGGGCAUCUGAGUACCCCACCACCACCCUGUGUACUCAGCAAUGAAAAAUGAGAUACACCAAACCAGAAAUGCAUUUGAAACCAAAAACUGGCAAAUUAGUAGUGACAGAUUCCAAUCAGAAGAAGUUACGGGCGGCAUGGCUCUUUGCAGGUCAUUCCCUAGCAGGACAGCACAGAAGAACUGGACUUCCCCCAGAGAGAGAGCAGAGUGACAGUGGCGGGAGGAGUCUGUGGGAAUGUCCUAUGCAAGGAUAGACCUGAACCAAUCUACAUCAGCACUCUGCCUGUGACCAGGUUCUUGGAGCUUUGAAGAUGUCACCGUGGAUCAACUCCAUGAUGGGUGUAAGGGUGCUCUAACUUUAUACAGCUGCCUCUCAGUCUAUAUUCCAAAUGAAAGGCUCAGCUAGCAAUGUCACCACCCCUCUACCUCUUGCUUCCAAGGAGUUCUCUCUGUUUGUUUCAUACCUAGCUCUCUUCACUGAGGUAUUGAGGACAAAAGAAAAAAAAGGAAGUUUGAAAACUGCAGCCAAUGGUGAGUGGCUAUCCUUAUGUGGGGCAUCUAUAUUACCCCCUCCAGGGUUUAGGGGACAUUGUGAGAGGGGAAAGAAAGAAUGUAAGAGAUGGCAGAUGGGGAGGAGUGUUAUGAAAUGCCAUCUUCUGGACAUGACAUGACUGUCACAGUUAUGAAUUCACCGCAGCUCUGGUUACCCACAGGG